GUGGGGAAUUUUGCGCAAUGGGCGAAAGCCUGACGCAGCAACGCCGCGUGGAGGAUGAAGGCCUUCGGGUCGUAAACUCCUGUCGAUGGGGACGAAAGCCGAAAGGAUUGACUGUACCCGUUGAGGAAGCCACGGCUAACUCCGUGCCAGCAGCCGCGGUAAUACGGAGGUGGCAAGCGUUGUUCGGAAUUACUGGGCGUAAAGGGCGCGUAGGCGGCAUAGCAAGUCAGAUGUGAAAGCCCCGGGCUCAACUCGGGAAUAGCAUCUGAAACUGUUUUGCUUGAGUUCUGGAGGGGGUAGUGGAAUUCCCAGUGUAGCGGUGAAAUGCGUAGAUAUUGGGAGGAACACCUGCGGCGAAGGCGGCUACCUGGACAGUGACUGACGCUGAGGCGCGAAAGCUAGGGGAGCGAACGGGAUUAGAAACCCUAGUAGUCC
rnacentral:rRNA from 1 species